GACGAACGCUGGCGGCGUGCUUAACACAUGCAAGUCGAACGGAAAGGCCUGCUUUCCCUUGUGGAUUGCGGGUACUCGAGUGGCGAACGGGUGAGUAACACGUGAGUGAUCUGCCCCCAACUUGGGUAUAAGCCUGGGAAACUGGGUCUAAUUCCCGAUAGGACUGCAGGGUGGUGCCUGUGGUGGAAAACGAUUUUCUAGUGGUUGGGGAUGAGCUCGCGGCCUAUCAGCUUGUUGGUGGGGUAAUGGCCUACCAAGGCGGCGACGGGUAGCCGGCCUGAGAGGGUGGACGGCCACAUUGGGACUGAGAUACGGCGCAGACUCCUACGGGAGGCAGCAGUGGGGAGUAUUGCACAAUGGGCGGAAGCCUGAUGCAGCGACGCCGCGUGGGGGAUGACGGCCUUCGGGUUGUAAACUCCUUUCGACCGCGAGGAAGCCACCUGGUUGGAAGGGUGGUGACGGUAGUGGUAGAAGAAGCACCGGCUAACUACGUG
rnacentral:rRNA from 1 species